UUGGAGGGCAAGUCUGGUGCCCGCAGCCGCGGUAAUUCCAGCUCCAAUAGCGUAUAUUAAAGUUGUUGCAGUUAAAAAGCUCGUAGUUGAACUUCGGGGUUUACCCAUUGGUCAGGCUUAAUUGUCUGUACUGGUGAGAUAAAUCUCUACCUUCUGAGGAACUUUCAUGUCAUUAAUUUGGUGUGAUUGGAAAUCAGGACUGUUACUUUGAAAAAAUUAGAGUGUUUAAAGCAGGCUAACGUCUGAAUACAUUAGCAUGGAAUAAUGAAAUAGGACGGACUGAUUCUAUUUCGUUGGUUUCUAGGAUCACCGUAAUGAUUAAUAGGGAUAGUUGGGGGCAUUAGUAUUCAAUUGUCAGAGGUGAAAUUCUUGGAUUUAUUGAAGACUAACUACUGCGAAAGCAUUUGCCAAGGAUGUUUUCAUUAAUCAAGAACGAAAGUUAGGGGAUCGAAGACGAUCAGAUACCGUCGUAGUCUUAACCAUAAACUAUGCCGACUAGGGAUCGGACGAAGUUAAUUUUAUAAUGACGCGUUCGGCGCCUUACGGGAAAC
rnacentral:rRNA from 1 species